ACGAACGCUGGCGGCAGGCCUAACACAUGCAAGUCGAGCGCGCCCUUCGGGGUGAGCGGCGGACGGGUGAGUAACGCGUGGGAACGUGCCCUUUUCUACGGAAUAGCCUCGGGAAACUGAGAGUAAUACCGUAUACGCCCUUUGGGGGAAAGAUUUAUCGGAAAAGGAUCGGCCCGCGUUGGAUUAGGUAGUUGGUGGGGUAAUGGCCUACCAAGCCGACGAUCCAUAGCUGGUUUGAGAGGAUGAUCAGCCACACUGGGACUGAGACACGGCCCAAACUCCUACGGGAAGCAGCAGUGGGGAAUCUUAGACAAUGGGGGCAACCCUGAUCUAGCCAUGCCGCGUGAGUGAUGAAGGCCUUAGGGUUGUAAAGCUCUUUCAGCUGGGAAGAUAAUGACGGUACCAGCAGAAGAAGCCCCGGCUAACUCCGUG
rnacentral:rRNA from 1 species